UGGGGAAUAUUGCACAAUGGGCGCAAGCCUGAUGCAGCCAUGCCGCGUGUAUGAAGAAGGCCUUCGGGUUGUAAAGUACUUUCAGCGAGGAGGAAGGCGUUGUGGUUAAUAACCGCAACGAUUGACGUUACUCGCAGAAGAAGCACCGGCUAACUCCGUGCCAGCAGCCGCGGUAAUACGGAGGGUGCAAGCGUUAAUCGGAAUUACUGGGCGUAAAGCGCACGCAGGCGGUCAGUCAAGUCGGAUGUGAAAUCCCCGGGCUCAACCUGGGAACUGCAUCCGAAACUGGCAGGCUAGAGUCUUGUAGAGGGGGGUAGAAUUCCAGGUGUAGCGGUGAAAUGCGUAGAGAUCUGGAGGAAUACCGGUGGCGAAGGCGGCCCCCUGGACAAAGACUGACGCUCAGGUGCGAAAGCGUGGGGAGCAAACA
rnacentral:rRNA from 1 species